AUAUUUCUAAGAGUGAAUAAUAGGGUUGAAUUAAGGGGUAAUUUCAUUGUUCAAAGCUUUCAAUCAAUCAAGUUCAUGACUUAUUAUUGUUUGCAAUACUAUUCAUUUUUCCAUAUAAAUAUGGAUACGGGUGUUAGUAUUUUCCUUUUUUUUUUUUUUUUUUGCCUUUAUUAGAAUUGGAUUUUGAUUGUGAAAUAAUUCAUGUUCAUGAAUUGAAUUGAAG
rnacentral:lncRNA from 1 species